rnacentral:rRNA from 1 species
UACAGAGGUCUCAAGCGUUUGUUCGGGAUUCAUUAGGGCGUAAAGGGUGGCGUAGGCGGCGCGGUAAGUCGGAUGUGAAAUCUCGGAAGCUUAACUUCGAAAACCUGCAUUCGAUACUGCCGUGCUUGAGGACUGGAGAGGAGACUGGAAUUUACGGUGUAGCGGUGAAAUGCGUAGAUAUCGUAAGGAAGACCAGUGGCGAAGGCGG